rnacentral:rRNA from 1 species
GAUGAACGCUGGCAGUAUGCUUUACACAUGCAAGUCGUACGGGAGUUUUUAACUCAAGUGGCGGACGGGUGAGUAACACGUAAGAAUUUACCUUUAGGAGGGGGAUAACAACUGGAAACGGUUGCUAAUACCCCAUAUGCUUUCGAGUGAAAUGGAAUUUUCCGCCUAGAGAGAAGCUUGCGGCUGAUUAGCUUGUUGGUGUGGUAAUGGCUCACCAAGGCGACGAUCAGUAUCUGGUUUGAGAGGACGAUCAGACACACUGGAACUGAGACACGGUCCAGACUCCUACGGGAGGCAGCAGUGGGGAAUAUUGCACAAUGGGCAAAAGCCUGAUGCAGCGACGCCGCGUGAACGAUGAAGGCUUUCGAGUCGU